rnacentral:rRNA from 1 species
AUUGAACGCUGGCGGAAUGCUUUACACAUGCAAGUCGAACGGUAGAGGGGGCAACCCCUCGAGAGUGGCGAACGGGUGAGUAAUAUAUCGGAAUGUGCCCAGUCGUGGGGGAUAACGUAGCGAAAGUUACGCUAAUACCGCAUACGAUCUAAGGAUGGAAGCGGGGGAUCGCAAGACCUCGCGCGAUUGGAGCGGCCGAUAUCAGAUUAGGUAGUUGGUGGGGUAAAGGCUCACCAAGCCAACGAUCUGUAGCUGGUCUGAGAGGACGACCAGCCACCCUGGAACUGAGACACGGUCCAGACUCCUACGGGAGGCAGCAGUGGGGAAUUUUGGACAAUGGACGCAAGUCUGAUCCAGCCAUUCCGCGUGCAGGAUGAAGGCCCUCGGGUUGUAAACUGCUUUUGUACGGAACGAAAAGGUCUCUCUUAAUACGGGGGACUCAUGACGGUACCGUAAGAAUAAGCACCGGCUAACUACGUGCCAGCAGCCGCAGUAA